AGCGAACGCUGGCGGCAGGCCUAACACAUGCAAGUCGAACGAACUCUUCGGAGUUAGUGGCGGACGGGUGAGUAACACGUGGGAACGUGCCUUUUGGUUCGGAAUAACUCAGGGAAACUUGUGCUAAUACCGAAUGUGCCCUUCGGGGGAAAGAUUUAUCGCCAUUAGAGCGGCCCGCGUCUGAUUAGCUAGUUGGUGAGGUAACGGCUCACCAAGGCGACGAUCAGUAGCUGGUCUGAGAGGAUGACCAGCCACACUGGGACUGAGACACGGCCCAGACUCCUACGGGAGGCAGCAGGGGGGAAUCUUGCGCAAUGGGCGAAAGCCUGACGCAGCCAUGCCGCGCGAAUGAUGAAGGUCUUAGGAUUGUAAAAUUCUUUCACCGGGGACGAUAAUGACGGUACCCGGAGAAGAAGCCCCGGCUAACUUCGU
rnacentral:rRNA from 1 species